CGUCCAGACCAGCUGGCAGCAUCCCUUGGUAUCCCACGAGCCAUCGAAUGAAAACGUCGGCAGUCACUCGCGCGGAUCCUCGCCCGCGAGAUCUCAGCUUUCUUCCGUUUCCUCAGAUUUCUCUUGUGCCAAUUAUUUCAAUCGUGCCCUUCUCGAGCCCUUCGUUAACAAAUACAUAAUUAUUCUUUUUCAUAUUAGAGAAAAGAACGAACAAUUAUAUUUUAUUAAUUCGUACGACUCUUAUUUAUUAUUUUAUCAUUAAGAAUAUUAUCGGAUCGUUUGGAAAAUUAUUUUAUUCCAUGUUGUGUAUCAUUUAUUUAUUUAUCGAUUAACGUUGAAAUUAUAUUAUUAUUUUUCUAGUUUUUUUUUUUUGACACAUUGGAUUGAAUUAUAUUUGUAGAAGAGAUUUUCGUACGAAUCGAUAUUUGUAUUAUUUCGAGGGAUGAGAAAUUUUUGAACGAACUAGCAUUUGUAAGAUAGCGUUUUAAAGUAUCAAGGGUAUAGAUUCAAGGACACCCACGCUUCUGUCCUUGACAUUCUCUAACGAAACGUGACACACUGUAUUUUGAUCGCGUUCAUAGCAAACGCCCACCGGCAAAGAAACAUUUAACGGUGAAUUAGAUUAGCGAUUUGCACUGGCGCCAUUCCUUUUUACACGUUCGUAUAAUACAAGGAAACUUUAAUAAUCAAAUUACUUUGCUUCUACGCAGUUUGGACUUUCAGCUGGUCAACUCGUUCGGCAAAGAGCUUACCCGUUCUAAGAGCUAAACAACCUAAGGAGUUUACACAUAUCGUUGGGAAAGUUUCACCAAAAAAAAAGAAUAUUACGGUGUAGUACUUUUAAAUUAAAAUUCCAAUUUCAAUUUGACUAAAACGU
rnacentral:lncRNA from 1 species